GAAAUGCGAUAAGUAAUGUGAAUUGCAGAAUUCAGUGAAUCAUCGAAUCUUUGAUCGCACAUUGCGCCCGCCAGUAUUCUGGCGGGCAUGCCUGUUCGAGCGUCAUUUCAACCAUCAAGCCCCGGGCUUGUGUUGGGGACCUGCGGCUGCCGCAGGCCCUGAAAAGCAGUGGCGGGCUCGCUGUCACACCGAGCGUAGUAGCAUACAUCUCGCUCUGGGCGUGCUGCGGCGGCCCGCGUCCAACAAGCUGAACCCCCCCGUCUUUGACCUCGGAUCAGGUAGGGAUACCCGCUGAACUUAAGC
rnacentral:misc_RNA from 1 species